UCCAGCAAGAUGUGGUUUCAUGUGGUGUGUUUGCGCUUAAAUUUGCAGAGUGCAUACUGGAAAACAAGGACCUGAACUUUCCAUCAGCAGCAGAAGCUGUUAAUACCAUGAGACUCAACAUGUCUUCCACACUUCUCUCAGAAUCAGGUAUCUUUUGACAUAUUUUUUAUUCAGUUCCUAUGUGGGUGGGAUACUAUGUUGUGUGUAAAAUCAUGCACGCACAAAAAAAUUGUGUUAGGUCAGCUAUUUUAUCUAAUUAGAAAUAUUAAAAUAUUGAACUUUGCAGAUGUGUGAAGUACAAUCAUGUUAGUGUUUAUGUCAAAUUCAAUUAGUGAAGAACAUUUCAAUACACCUGGCCUUGAUCUCUAAUAAAUAAAUUACACAUAACACAGCCCAAUAACUGUUGAGGCAAAAAACAUAAUCAACAAACUUAAAAUUGUUCUAGGAUACAAUUACACUUUUCUUGAGUAGCUUUAAUGUAACUUAAUAAGCAAAAAGGACUUGCAGUUUGUGAAAGUACAAAACUGGAAUGAGAUGUAUUAUGUGAACCAUUAUAUUCAUUACUGUGUUUCAUAAAAUGAACAUUUACAAAAUGACAACUUUCACAAGAUGUAUACACAUAUAUAUGUAGACAUAUUAAAAUUUUCUGAAUGCCAUUUUUAUACUUUCAGUGGCUUAAGUUGGAGAAAAUUAUAAAAAGGUAAACACUAAGUGAUGCUUUCUUUUACCAUAAAUCCCAGAAAUACCUUAAAUACAUGUGUGUUUCAAUUCAUGAAUAGACAGACACCAUGUGCGCCUGCCUAAUAUGCCAAUAUGAUGUACAGUUUCUAUUACUUGUAUUUGUUUAUGAGACCAGACAUUAUCAAAAAGGAAUGAUUAGACGACUGAGAUCUACACAGAGGAUUAUUGUUCCACUUUCAAAAGAACACUAACAAAUGGAAUUAUUUAAAAGAAAAAAAAAAACGCAAAAAAAUACCAUUAAGAUUAUUUUAUAACAUUGA